rnacentral:rRNA from 1 species
AAAGACAAAAAAUUUUUCUAAUUCUUCUUAAUUAUCAUCUAUAUAUUGAUCUAUCAUUAAAUUUAAAUUAAAUAUGCUAAAUUACAUUCAAAUAAUUCAUUAACAACUAUAUAUAAAAAAUGAAUUAAAUGAAAUUCAAAGUGUAAUUUCCACUUAAAGAACAAGAUUCUUUAAUAAUUAAGUACCGCCAAAUAAACUAACUUUAACUAUUACAUUAAUUACUAUUUAAAUUUCAUUAAUUUUUCUAGGGUAUCUAAUCCUAUUAACUUAAAUUAAUUAAAAUUGAAAAUUCAUAAUCAAAUUAAAAUCUAAAAAUUUCACUUAAAUAUUUUAAUUAAAAUCAAAUCUAAAUUUCAAGUACAAAGAAAUUUUAAUUUCACCAAUCAUGUAUAACCG